rnacentral:rRNA from 1 species
CGACGCCGCGUGGAGGAGGACGGCCUUCGGGUUGUAAACUCCUUUUGACGAGGAAGAAAAAAAAUGACGGUACUCGUCGAAUAAGCCCCGGCUAACUCCGUGC